rnacentral:rRNA from 1 species
AGUGAGCGCUGGCGGUAGGCCUAACACAUGCAAGUCGAACGGCAGCACAGUAAGAGCUUGCUCUUACGGGUGGCGAGUGGCGGACGGGUGAGGAAUACAUCGGAAUCUACUUUUUCGUGGGGGAUAACGUAGGGAAACUUACGCUAAUACCGCAUACGACCUACGGGUGAAAGCAGGGGAUCUUCGGACCUUGCGCGAUUGAAUGAGCCGAUGUCGGAUUAGCUAGUUGGCGGGGUAAAGGCCCACCAAGGCGACGAUCCGUAGCUGGUCUGAGAGGAUGAUCAGCCACACUGGAACUGAGACGCGGUCCAGACUCCUACGGGAGGCAGCAGUGGGGAAUAUUGGACAAUGGGCGCAAGCCUGAUCCAGCCAUACCGCGUGGGUGAAGAAGGCCUUCGGGUUGUAAAGCCCUUUUGUUGGGAAAGAAAAGCAGCAGGUUAAUACCCCGCUGUUCUGACGGUACCCAAAGAAUAAGCACCGGCUAACUUCGUG